CGGCCGCUUGCAGGGACAGGCGUCCUGUGGGGCCCAGGCCCGGGGGAGGAGGGGGGUGGCAGGAUCACAGCCUGGGGACUCCAGAAGUCACCUCGCAGGGAGCAAGAUUGCUUUUUUCCGCCACCCGCGGUCAACAGCGCAGAGAGGCCCAAGGGAUGAGGACACCACAGAGCGUUGUGAAGCCCUCGCUGCAGGAGCCGGGCCGAGCCUGACGUCUGUCCUCUCCACGUGCGCACCGGCUUCCGAGGGAGCGGCCGGCCAGUGGCUGCCGCAUGGAACGUCUGCAGAAGCAACCUCUUACCUCCCCGGGGAGCGUCAGCUCCUCCAGAGACUCCAGUGUACCCGGCUCUCCCUCCAACAUCGUGGCCAAGAUGGACAACCAGGUGUUGGGCUACAAAGACCUGGCCGCCAUCCCCAAGGACA
rnacentral:lncRNA from 1 species